UCCCGCAAGGGUAAAGAUUUAUCGCUUCAAGAAGGGCCGAUGCACUAUCAGCUAGUUGGUGAGGUAAUGGCUCACCAAGGCUAUGACGGUUAGGAGGCUCGAGAGGGUAUUCUCCCACAUUGGCACUGAGACACUGGCCAAACUCCUACGGGAGGCUGCAGUCGAGAAUCUUCGUCAAUGCACGCAAGUGUGAACGAGCGACGCCGCGUGAGCGAUGACGCCCUUCGGGGUGUAAAGCUCUUUUAUUGGGGACAAACUUUGAUGGUACCCAGUGAAUAAGAGGUUGCUAACUCUGUGCCAGCAGCAGCGGUAAUACAGAGACCUCAAGCGUUAUCCGGAUUUAUUGGGCGUAAAGAGUCUGUAGGUUGAAUAAAUAGUCAGAUGUCAAAUUUUAGGGCUUAACCUUAAAACUGCAUCUGAAACGUUUGUUCUAGAGGACGGUAGGGGCAAGUAGAACUUAUAGUGUAGCAGUAAAAUGCGUUGAUAUUAUAAGGAAUACCAAAAGCGAAGGCAUCUUGCUG
rnacentral:rRNA from 1 species